UUGAACGCUGGCGGCAGGCCUAACACAUGCAAGUCGAAUGGUAACAGGAAACAGCUUGCUGUUUCGCUGACGAGUGGCGGACGGGUGAGUAAUGUCUGGAAAACUGCCUGAUGGAGGGGGAUAACUACUGGAAACGGUAGCUAAUACCGCAUAACGUCGCAAGACCAAAGAGGGGGACCUUCGGGCCUCUUGCCAUCAGAUGUGCCCAGAUGGGAUUAGCUAGUAGGUGGGGUAACGGCUCACCUAGGCGACGAUCCCUAGCUGGUCUGAGAGGAUGACCAGCCACACUGGAACUGAGACACGGUCCAGACUCCUACGGGAGGCAGCAGUGGGGAAUAUUGCACAAUGGGCGCAAGCCUGAUGCAGCCAUGCCGCGUGUAUGAAGAAGGCCUUCGGGUUGUAAAGUACUUUCAGCGGGGAGGAAGGGAGUAAAGUUAAUACCUUUGCUCAUUGACGUUACCCGCAGAAGAAGCACCGGCUAACUCCGUG
rnacentral:rRNA from 1 species